rnacentral:tRNA from 1 species
AGUCGUAUAGCUCAGUCUGGUUAGAGCACUUCGCUGAUAACGAAGAUGUCGGGGGUUCAAAUCCCUCUACGACUAC